rfam:Capsella rubella cultivar Monte Gargano unplaced genomic scaffold scaffold_8, whole genome shotgun sequence.
GAGCCGUGCAGUGAAGACAAAGCGAACUAUUCUUUCGCCUUUUACUAAAGAAUACCGUGUCUUCUCUGCACUUAAGCGGCAUACGCCUAUUUUUGGAAAGGUUUAUUUACAAAUAAACCU